rnacentral:rRNA from 1 species
GACGUAGGGCGCGAGCGUUGUCCGGAUUUAUUGGGCGUAAAGAGCUCGUAGGCGGCUUGUUGCGUCAGCUGUGAAAACCCGCAGCUCAACUGUGGGCUUGCAGCUGAUACGGGCAGGCUUGAGUUCGGUAGGGGAGACUGGAAUUCCUGGUGUAGCGGUGAAAUGCGCAGAUAUCGUUUGGAACGCCAACGGUGAAAACAGACAGCUGGGAGUGUGCUGACGCUGAGACACGAAAGCCAGGGGAGCGAACGGG